GGCGAUUGAAUUAGGUUUUUGGCUCUGUCUUUGAUCUGUCGGGGGUACGUAGGUAUAUAUAGGAGGAAGGAGUACGUCGGUGGAGCAACAGGGGGCCCACGAGGUAGGGGGCGCGCCCAGGGGGCGCCCUCCACCCUCGUGGCCACCUCUGGCACUUCUUGGAGUAGGGUCCAAGUCUCCUGGAUCAUGUUCGGUGAGAAAAUCACGUUCCCGAAGGUUUCAUUCCGUUUAGACUCCGUUUGAUAUUCUGUUUCUUCAAAACACUGAAAUAGGCAAAAAAACAGUAAUUCUGGGCUGGGCCUCCGGUUAAUAGGUUAAUCCCAAAAAUAAUAUAAAAGUGGAAAAUAAAGCCCAAUAUAGUCCAAAACAGUAGAUAAAGUAGCAUGGAGCAAUCAAAAAUUAUAGAUACGUUGGAGACGUAUCAGGCAUCCGCAAGCUUAAUUCCUGCUCGUCCUCGAGUAGGUAAAUGAUAAAAAAAGAAUUUUUGAUGCGGAGUGAUACUUUGGCAUAAUUUCAAUGUAAAUAUUCUUAAUUGUGAUAUGAAUAUUCAGAUACGAAAGAUUCAAGACAAAAGUUCAUAUUGAUACAAAAAUAAUAAUACUUCAAGCAUACUAAUCAAAGCAAUCAUGUCUUCUCAAAAUAGCAUGGCAAAAGAAAGUUCAUCCCUACAAAAUCAUAAGCUAUGCUUCAUUUUUGUCACACAAAGAUGUUCCCAACUUAUAUACCCCCGAUGACAAGCCAAGCAAUUGUUUCAUACUCAAAUAAUCUCAAACUUUUUCAACCUUCACGCAAUACAUGAGCACGAGCCAUGGAUAUAGCACUAUGGGUGGAAUAGAAUAUGAUGAUGGGGAUUGUGUGGAGAAGAUAAAAAAGGAGAAAGUCUCACAUUUAUGAGGCUAAUCAACGGGCUAUGGAGAUGCCCAUCAAUUGAUGUCAACAUGAGGAGUAGGGAUUGCCAUGCAAUGGAUGCACUAGAGCUAUGAAUGCUCAACAAAAGAAAACUAGUGGGUGUGCAUCCAACUCGCUUGCUCAUGAAGACCUAGGGCAUUUGAGGAAGCCCAUCGUAGGAAUAUACAAGCCAAGUUCUAUAAUGAAAAAUUCCCACUAGUAUGAAAAGGACAACUUUAUGAGACUCACUACAUGAAGAACAAGGUGCUACUUUGAAGCACAAUAUAUGAGACUCACUACAUGAGGAACAAGGUGCUACUUUGAAGCACAAGUGUGGAAAAAGAGAUAGUAGCAUUGCCCCCUUUUUUUCUUUUCUUUUUUUGGGCCUUUCUUUUUUCCUUUUGGCCUUUCUUCCUUUUUUUGGGCAAUGCUCUAAUAAUGAUGAUCAUCACACUUCUAUUGAUUACAACAUAAGGAUUACAACUCGAAACUUAGAACAAGAUAUGACUCUAUAUGAAUGCCUCCGACGGUGUACCGGGAUGGUGCAAUGAAUCAAGAGUGACAUGUAUGAAAAAUAAUGCAUGGUGGCUUUGCCACAAAUACGAUGUCAACUACAUGAUCAUGCAAUGGCAAUAUGACAAAAGUAAUGUAUUUCAUGAUGAUGAUGAUGGAAGUUGCAUGGCAAUAUAUCUCGGAAUGGCUAUGGAAAUGCCAUGAUAGGUAGGUAUGGUGGCUGUUUUGAGGAAGAUAUAAGGAGGUUUAUGUGUGAUAGAGCAUAUCAUAUCACGGGGUUUGGAUGCACCUGCGAAGUUUGCACCAACUAUCAAGGUGAGAAAGGGCAAUGCACGGUACCGAAGAGGCUAGCAAAGGCGGAAAGGUGAGAGUGCGUAUAAUCCAUGGACUCAACAUUAGUCAAAAGAACUCAUAUACUUAUUGCAAAAAUUAAGAAGUCAUCAAAAAUCAAGUACUACGUGCAUGCUCCUAGGGGGAUAGAUUGGUAGGAAAAGACCAUCGCUCGUCCCCAACCGCCACUCAUAAGGAUGCACAAGCCAGGUACACUUCAUGUUUCAAAUUUGUUACACAACUUUAACCAUGUGUGCAUGCUACGGGACUUGCAAACUUCAACACAAGCAUUCUUUGAAUUCAUAAUCACCCAACUAGCACGACUUUGAUAUUAUCACCUCCAUAUCUCAAAACAAUUAUCAAGCAUCAAACUUAUCUUAGUAUUCAAUUCACUCAAAAGAAAGUUUCACAUAUCUUGAAUACCAAGUAUAUUAACAUUAAGCAAAUUACCAUGCUAUUAAUUACUCUCAAAAUAAUCUAAGUGAAGCAAGAGAGAUCAAUAGUUUCUUUAAAACAAAUCCACUACCGUGCUCUAAAAGAUAUAAGUGAAGUACUAGAGCAAAAAUUAUCACGCUCAAAAGAUAUAAGUGAAGCACUAUGAGCAAAACUAUCAAGCUCAAAAGAUAUAAGUGAAGCACAUAGAGUAUUCUAACAAAUUCCAAUUCAAGUAUGGCUCUCUUAAAAGGUGUUUACAGCAAGGAUGAUUGUGGUAAACUAACAAGAAAAGACGCGAAUAAUACAAGACGCUCCAAGCAAAACACAUAUCAUGUGGUGAAUAAAAAUAUAGCUCCAAGUAAAUUACCGUUGGAAGUGGGUGAAGGAGGGGAUGCCUUCCGGGGCAUCCCCAAGCUUUGACUUUUUGGUGUCCUUGGAUUAUCUUGGGGGUUCCAUGGUCAUCCCCAAGCUUAGGCUCUUGCCACUCCUUGUUCCAUAAUCCAUCAAAAGAAUUCACCCAAAACUUGAAAACUUCACAACACAAAACUCAAUAGAAAUCUCGUGAGCUCCGUUAGUGAAAGAAAACAAAAGACUAAUUUAAGGUACUGUAAUGAACUAAUUCUUUAUUUAUAUUGGUGUUAAACCUACUGUAUUCCAACUUCCUUAUGGUUUAUAAACUAAUUUAUUGGCCAUAGAUGCAUUGAAAUAAGCAAACAACACACGGAAAACAGAAUCUGUCAAAAACAGAAAAGUCUUUAGCAAUCUGUAACUAACGCAAACUUCUGGAACUCUAAAACUUCUACCAAAAUAUGAAGUACUGGAAAAUUUGUUUAUUGAUCAGAAGCAAAAAGAAUCAAUGCAAAAUCACGUUUUUGUGAUUUAUUGAAUUUUUUCUCGUGAGCGCAAAGUUUCUGUUUUUCAGCAGAAUCAAAUCAACUAUCAUCGUAGGUUAUCCUAUAGGUUCUACUUGGCACAAACACUAAUUAAAAGAUAAAACCACAUCCAAACAGAAGCUAGAUGGAUUAUCUAUUCCUAAACAGAAGCAAAAACAAAAAACACAAAAUAAAAUCGGGUUGCCUCCCAACAAGCGCUAUCGUUUAACGCCCCUAGCUAGGCAUAAAAGCAAGAAUAGAUCUAGGUAUUGCCAUCUUUGGUAGGCAAUUCUUCAAUGAGGCAUCUACCACCUUUAGAAUUUUCUUUCUUUCUAGUAAUUGACAAAUUUUCAAGCAAAAGAUCGAAAAAUUCAUUCAUAGCACAAGGUUCCUUAGUGAGGGUAAAAAGAUUGGGAUGAAAACUUAUAGAUUUAAGAUCCGCAAUUUCCUUACUAGAUGAUUCACCCUUAUUCUUAGGAACAAAAAUAGGCUUAGUAUUUUUAGUAUACGAACUUGGAGUGUUUUGUACGGAAGAAAAAGCGGUUCCCAAGUUGGUGAUGAUACCCUCAAGUUUAUCAAUUCUUGUGGAAUCUAGAUUUAUUUUCUCAUUAACUAUGGGUUCUUUUUAUUUAAUAUUUUUCAAAGUCAUUCCUACCUUAGAUCCAUAUUGGGUAAUUUGAUUGUGGAUCUUUUUAUCAAGAUUUUCAAUUGAUUCAAUGGUAGCAACUUUAUUCUCAAUAAUUUCAAGUCUUUGCAUAACAUGCUCAAAAGUUAACGUAGUUCCAUUAACCAAAAGAGGUGGUGAGCCAAAUAAAUCUAUUAAAGCAUUAUAAGAAUCAAAAGUAUGACUACCCAAGAAAUUCCCUCCGGUAAUGGUGUCAAGGAUAUAUCUAUACCAAGGAUUAGCACCUACGUAAAAAAUACGAUGAAGAACUGAAGUAGAUUGCUUCCUGCUAGAUUUAUUUUGAGCAUUGCAAAUUCUAUACCAAGCGUCUUUCAGAUUUUCUCCCUCCCUUUGCUUAAAAUUUAGAACUUCAUUCUCGGGAGAUAACGGAGAAGAUAUGAGACUAGACAUAAUGAUAAGCAAGCAAACUAACACACGAGCAAACAGAAAGGCAACGAGAAAAAGAGGAGGAGAUUGAUUAAGAGAGGGCGAAUAAAACGGCAAGGGUGAAGUGGGGGAGAGGAAAAUGAGAGGCAAAUGGCAAAUAAUGUAAUGCGAGAGAUAGGGAUUGCGAUGGGUACUUAGUAUGGUUGACUUUCUUGCGUGAGCCUCCCCAGCAACGGCGCCAGAAAUGAGCUUAGUUGACGGAGUGUGAGUACCCUUUACCUAGCCUCCCCGGCAACGGCGCCAGAAAUUCUUCUUGCUACCUCUUGAGCACUGCGUUGGAUUUCCCCGAAGAGGAGAGGAUGAUGCAGCGAAGUAGCGUAAGUAUUUCCCUCAGUUUUUGAGAACCAAGGUAUCAAUCCAGUAGGAGAUCACGCACAAGUCCCUCGUACCUACACAAAACGAUAGCUACUCGCAACCAACGCGAUUAGGGGUUGUCAAUCCCUUCACGGUCACUUACGAGAGUGAGAUCUGAUAGAGAUGAUAAAUAAUAUUUUUGGUAUUUUUGAUAGAUAGAUGCAAAGUGAAAAGUAAAAGGCAAAGUAAAAACAAAGCAAGUAAAUAAAGCGAUAGAGAUUGAUAUGAUGAGAAUAGACCCGGGGGCCAUAGGUUUCACUAGUGGCUUCUCUCAAGAGCAUAGAUAUUCUACGGUGGGUGAACAAAUUACUGUUGAGCAAUUAAUAGAAAAGCGAAUAAUUAUGAGCAUAUCUAGGUAAUAUCAUGUAUAUAGGCAUCACGUCCAAGACAAGUAGAUCGAAGUGAUUCUGCAUCUACUACUAUUACUCCACUCAUCGACCGAUAUCUAGCAUGCAUCUAGAGUAUUAAGUUAAAAACAGAGUAACGCCUUAAGCAAGAUGACAUGAUGUAGAGGGAUAAAUUCAUGCAAUAUGAUAAAAAACCAUCUUGUUAUCCUCGAUGGCAACAAUACAAUAUGUGCCUUGCAACCCUUUCUGUCACUGGGUAAGGACACCGCAAGAUUGAACCCAAAGCUAAGCACUUCUCCCAUUGCAAGAACUACCAAUCUAGUUGGCCAAACAAAAAAGGAUAAUUUAAAGAGACUUGCAAAGAUAACUCAAUCAUACAUAAAAGAAUUCAGAGAAGAUUCAAAUAUUUUCCAUGGAUAAGUUGGAUCAUAAACCCACAAUUCAUCGGACUCAACAAACACACCGCAAAAAGAAGAUUGCAUCGAAUAGAUCUCCACAAGAGAGGGGGAGAACAUUGUAUUGAGAUACAAAAAGAGAGAAGAAGCCAUCUAGCUACUAGCUAUGGACCCGAAGGUCUGAAGUAAACUACUCACACUUCAUCGGAGGGGCUAUGGUGUUGAUGUAGAAGCCCUCCAUGGUGGAUGCCCCCUCCGGCGGAGCUCCGGAACAGGCCCCAAGAUGGGAUCUCGUGGAUACAGAAGGUUGCAGCGGUGGAAUUAGGUUUUUGGCUCUGUCUUUGAUCUGUCGGGGGUACGUAGGUAUAUAUAGCAGGAAGGAGUACGUCGGUGGAGCAACAGGGGGCCCACGAGGUAGGGGGCGCGCCCUCAACCCUCAUGACCACCUCUGGCACUUCUUGGAGUAGGGUCCAAGUCUCCUGGAUCACGUUCGGUGAGAAAAUCACGUUCCCGAAGGUUUCAUUCCAUUUGGACUCCGUUUGAUAUUCUGUUUCUUCGAAACACUGAAAUAGGCAAAAAAA
rnacentral:lncRNA from 1 species